UUACCAUGCAGUCGAACGGUGAUGUCAGAGCUUGCUCUGGCGGAUCAGUGGCGAACGGGUGAGUAACACGUGAGUAACCUGCCCCCGACUCUGGGAUAACUGCUAGAAAUGGUAGCUAAUACCGGAUAUGACGACUGGCCGCAUGGUCUGGUCGUGGAAAGAAUUUCGGUUGGGGAUGGACUCGCGGCCUAUCAGGUUGUUGGUGAGGUAAUGGCUCACCAAGCCUACGACGGGUAGCCGGCCUGAGAGGGUGACCGGCCACACUGGGACUGAGACACGGCCCAGACUCCUACGGGAGGCAGCAGUGGGGAAUAUUGCACAAUGGGCGCAAGCCUGAUGCAGCAACGCCGCGUGAGGGAUGACGGCCUUCGGGUUGUAAACCUCUUUUAGUAGGGAAGAAGCGAAAGUGACGGUACCUGCAGAAAAAGCACCGGCUAACUACGUGCCAGCAGCCGCGGUAAUACGUAGGGUGCAAGCGUUGUCCGGAAUUAUUGGGCGUAAAGAGCUCGUAGGCGGUUUGUCGCGUCUGCUGUGAAAUCCCGAGGCUCAACCUCGGGUCUGCAGUGGGUACGGGCAGACUAGAGUGCGGUAGGGGAGAUUGGAAUUCCUGGUGUAGCGGUGGAAUGCGCAGAUAUCAGGAGGAACACCGAUGGCGAAGGCAGAUCUCUGGGCCGUAACUGACGCUGAGGAGCGAAAGCAUGGGGAGCGAACAGGAUUAGAUACCCUGGUAGUCCAUGCCGUAAACGUUGGGAACUAGAUGUGGGGACCAUUCCACGGUCUCCGUGUCGCAGCUAACGCAUUAAGUUCCCCGCCUGGGGAGUACGGCCGCAAGGCUAAAACUCAAAGGAAUUGACGGGGGCCCGCACAAGCGGCGGAGCAUGCGGAUUAAUUCGAUGCAACGCGAAGAACCUUACCAAGGCUUGACAUAUACCGGAAACGUGCAGAGAUGUGCGCCCCGCAAGGUCGGUAUACAGGUGGUGCAUGGUUGUCGUCAGCUCGUGUCGUGAGAUGUUGGGUUAAGUCCCGCAACGA
rnacentral:rRNA from 1 species